GAUCAAGUGAAAGAAGGGCAUUUGGUGGAUGCCU
rnacentral:rRNA from 1 species